AUAUUAUUCUGUGCUGGACAUAAUAAACUUCUAAAAAUGGAAUUGUUCACCCAGGGUGAGGCUUAGUUAUUGCACUCUAGUUGUGCUUACCCCUGCAAAUUCCCCAAAUGUGGGAAUCUCAACUGCAUAAUUUAUUGAAGUGGGGGAUUGAAUUCGCGCUCUUG